rnacentral:rRNA from 1 species
UACGUAGGGUGCGAGCGUUAAUCGGAAUUACUGGGCGUAAAGGGCGCGUAGGCGGAUAGGCAAGUGAGAUGUGAAAUACCCGGGCUUAACCUGGGAACUGCAUCUUAAACUGCGUAUCUGGAGUAUUGUAGAGGACAGUGGAAUUUCCGGUGUAGCGGUGAAAUGCGUAGAGAUCGGAAGGAACAUCAGUGGCGAAGGCGACUGUCUGGACAAAUACUGACGCUGAGGCGCGAAAGCGUGGGGAGCAAACAGG